AGUGAACGCUGGCGGCGUGGUUUAGGCAUGCAAGUCGAACGAUACCGCAAGGUAUAGUGGCAAAAGGGUGCGUAACGCGUGAGUAAUCUACCUUUAAGUGGGGAAUAACCCUGGGAAACCGGGGCUAAAACCGCAUAUGACCAAGGCCCGGAAUCGGGCUGUGGUAAAAGAUGGGGACCGUAAGGCCUGUCGCUUAGAGAUGAGCUCGCGUCCUAUCAGCUUGUUGGCGGGUAACGGCCCACCAAGGCUUUUGACGGGUAGCUGGUCUGAGAGGAUGGUCAGCCACAUUGGGACUGAGACACUGCCCAGACUCCUACGGGUGCUG
rnacentral:rRNA from 1 species